rfam:Gossypium arboreum cultivar AKA8401 contig_24828_7, whole genome shotgun sequence.
UAUUAAAAAAUUCAUUUAUUUGUACUAUUAAAAACUAGCUUGAUUGAUAGAAUAACCAAAAAGUAGCACGUGACAUAACAUGUGUACCUCAUGCCAAUAUACAGAGAUUAAUUUUUAACAGCAGAAAUGGAUGAAAUUUUUAACA